rnacentral:rRNA from 1 species
UACAUGGGGUGCAAACGUUGCUCGGAAUUAUUGGGCGUAAAGCGCGCGUAGGCGGUUACUCAAGUCGGAUGUGGAAGCCCUCGGCUUAACUGAGGAAGUGCACCCGAAACUGAGUAGCUAGAGUACCAAAGAGGGUCGCGGAAUUCCCGGUGUAGAGGUGAAAUUCGUAGAUAUCGGGAGGAACACCGGUGGCGAAGGCGGCGACCUGGGUGGAUACUGACGCUGAGGCGCGAAAGCGUGGGGAGCAAACAGG